rnacentral:rRNA from 1 species
UAUCAAUAAGCGGAGGAAAAGAAACCAACAGGGAUUGCCCUAGUAACGGCGAGUGAAGCGGCAACAGCUCAAAUUUGAAAUCUGGCUCUCGGGCCCGAGUUGUAAUUUGUAGAGGAUACUUUUGAUGCGGUGCCUUCCGAGUUCCCUGGAACGGGACGCCAUAGAGGGUGAGAGCCCCGUCUGGUUGGAUGCCAAAUCUCUGUAAAGUUCCUUCAACGAGUCGAGUAGUUUGGGAAUGCUGCUCUAAAUGGGAGGUAUAUGUCUUCUAAAGCUAAAUACCGGCCAGAGACCGAUAGCGCACAAGUAGAGUGAUCGAAAGAUGAAAAGCACUUUGAAAAGAGAGUUAAAAAGUACGUGAAAUUGUUGAAAGGGAAGCGUUUAUGACCAGACUUGGGCUUGGUUAAUCAUCUGGGGUUCUCCCCAGUGCACUUUUCCAGUCCAGGCCAGCAUCAGUUUUCCCCGGGGGAUAAAGGCGGCGGGAAUGUGGCUCUCUUCGGGGAGUGUUAUAGCCCACCGUGUAAUACCCUGGGGGGGACUGAGGUUCGCGCAUCUGCAAGGAUGCUGGCGUAAUGGUCAUCAACGACCCGUCUUGAAACACGGACCAAGGAGUCGUCUUCGUAUGCGAGUGUUCGGGUGUCAAACCCCUACGCGUAAUGAAAGUGAACGCAGGUGAGAGCUUCGGCGCAUCAUCGACCGAUCCUGAUGUUCUCGGAUGGAUUUGAGUAAGAGCAUACGGGGCCGGACCCGAAAGAAGGUGAACUAUGCCUGUAUAGGGUGAAGCCAGAGGAAACUCUGGUGGAGGCUCGCAGCGGUUCUGACGUGCAAAUCGAUCGUCAAAUAUGGGCAUGGGGGCGAAAGACUAAUCGAACCUUCUAGUACUGGGUUUCCGC